rnacentral:rRNA from 1 species
AACGAACGCUGGCGGCAGGCUUAACACAUGCAAGUCGAACGCCCCGCAAGGGGAGUGGCAGCCGGGUGAGUAACGCGUGGGAAUCUACCCAUCCCUACGGAAUAACGCAUGGAAACGUGUGCUAAUACCGUAUACGCCCUCCGGGGGAAAGAUUUAUCGGGGAUGGAUGAGUCCGCGUUGGAUUAGCUAGUUGGUGGGGUAAAGGCCUACCAAGGCGACGAUCCAUAGCUGGUCUGAGAGGAUGAUCAGACACAUUGGGACUGAGACACGGCCCAAACUCCUACGGGAGGCAGCAGUGGGGAAUAUUGGACAAUGGGCGCAAGCCUGAUCCAGCCAUGCCGCGUGAGUGAUGAAGGCCUUAGGGUUGUAAAGCUCUUUCACCGGAGAAGAUAAUGACGGUAUCCGAAGAAGAAGCCCCGGCUAACUUCGUG